rnacentral:misc_RNA from 1 species
AACGCACCUUGCGCCCUUUGGUUACUCCGAAGGGCAUGCCUGUUUGAGAGUCAUUAUUAAUCUCAAACUUCAGAGUUUUUUUGGACUUUGAAGGUUUGGAUAUUGGGGGUUAUGCUGGCAUUUGUUGUUGGCUCCUCUUAAAUGCAUUAGCAGGGAAAAACCAUUCAAGGAUGACCUUGGCUCUGGUUUGAUAAUAUAUCUAUGCCAUUGCUGAGGAAGUCGGAAAGAGUUUUUUCAGCUUCCAACUUGUCUAGAUAGACACUUUUGAAACUUGACCUCAAAUCAGGUAGGACUACCCGCUGAACUUAA